rnacentral:rRNA from 1 species
UGGGGAAUCUUGCGCAAUGGGCGAAAGCCUGACGCAGCAACGCCGCGUGCGGGAUGAAGGCCUUCGGGUUGUAAACCGCUUUCAGUGGGGACGAACCAAGACGGUACCCACAGAAGAAGCCCCGGCCAACUACGUGCCAGCAGCCGCGGUAACACGUAGGGACCAAGCGUUGUUCGGAUUUACUGGGCGUAAAGGGCGCGUAGGCGGUGUGUCAAGUCAGUUGUGAAAUCUCCGAGCUUAACUCGGAACGGUCAACUGAUACUGUCACACUAGAGUACAGAAGGGGCAAUCGGAAUUCUUGGUGUAGCGGUGAAAUGCGUAGAUAUCAAGAGGAACACCUGAGGUGAAGACGGGUUGCUGGGCUGACACUGACGCUGAGGCGCGAAAGCCAGGGGAGCAAACGGGAUUAGAUACCCCCGUAGUCCCUGAGCGGGCUGGCAAGGCGCAU